UACGAAGGGUGCUAGCGUUGUUCGGAAUUACUGGGCGUAAAGCGCGCGUAGGCGGCUAUACAAGUCAGGGGUGAAAUCCUUGGGCUCAACCCAAGAAUUGCCUUUGAAACUGUGUAGCUAGAGUGUCGGAGGGGAUAGCGGAAUUGCUAAUGUAGAGGUGAGAUUCGUAGAUAUUAGCAGGAACACCGGUGGCGAAGGCGGGUCUCUGGGCCGAUACUGACGCUGAGGAGCGAAAGCGUGGGGAGCGAACAGG
rnacentral:rRNA from 1 species